UGAAGCGCGCGCAAGGGAGGAUGAUGCGUUGAUGGUAAAACUGCAAACCCAACAAGGACUUUUUGCCAAAUUUCACACCCCCAGAUAUCCAGCCGUCAGGACAAGUUUCGUCAUUUCUCACAAAAUCGCCAGAAAAAGUAAGGCGUUUUCUGACGGAGAGUUCAUUGAGGAGUGCUUAUUGGACUCUGCCCAAGAAGAGGGGUGUAUUUGAGAACGUGUCAAUCUCCCGACGCACUGAAACAAGGCGGGUUGAGACCAUUGCUGGAAACUUGGAGCUUCAGGUGAAGAACAGAACGGCCGACUUUGCCUGUUUUUCGCUGGCUUUAGAUAAAAGCUGCGAUUUACGUGACACCGCCCAGCUGCUCAUCUUCUUACGUGCGAUAACUGCAGACUUUCAAAUCAUGGAGUAGCUGGCAGCUAUGCAGUCAAUUUAAGAGACAACCACAGGGGCACCGUUUUAUAAGGGACGUAUGGAGAGGCGUAGCCGACGGUCUGACAGAGCGGCAGGGCACGGUGGAGCCCGGACCAAGAUGGCGGGGAGGAGGCGGCGAAUGUGGCGCUACGAGCGAGAUCAGGUGCGUGGCUCGCACACCGGGACACAAUUAACUCAUCUCCUCAUGAUGUAUAAAAGGGGAGAACGUGGAGAGAUCAAGAGAAAAGGAGGAGGAGAGUCCGUAGCAGCGACCAAGGAGCAGAAGCAAACAGCAGACGAGGACGAGGACGACGACAACGGCGGCUAAAGAGUGGACCGUGAACGAGCAGUGGAGGAAGGAGCUGAUAAGCGAUCCGACCAAAAGACAAAGCUUUAUUUGAAAAAAUAAAAGAGUCAAACCUGAAAAA